rnacentral:lncRNA from 1 species
CACAAUCAGUGUGUAUGGCAGCUGGCCUACAGGUCUUGCUGCACUGCAGCUCUGCCUCUCCUGCAAACUGCUUGAGGGAGAAAGAGCACACUGAGUCCUCGGUCCCAGACCCAAUCUGGGUCUGAGAGGGAUGCUUCUUUUCAAAUGUCCAAAUUGCAGCAAACAACCAUCACCACCAUAACAAAAUACGUUUCUUCCAAAGAAGCAGCACAUCUGACAGCUGAACUCUGAGAUGCUGCGCCUCGUCUCUACAGUCAAUCCAUGCAACCUUCUAGUCUAAAGUCUCCGCUUUGGGGCUACUUCUCAGCAUGAGAACUCCUUAAGAGCGUCAGAGUCUCAGGAUCUCGAGGUGGACAGGCACCCUGAUACAAAAGAACGGUAAGAUGGGGUACAAAAUGGAUUCUGCAGGUACCGGGAGGACGUUGCAAAUCCCAGUGAAGGUGAGUGGAUGCACACACAGCCUGGAUAGACACGAAAUGGCACAAAGGGAGAGCAAGGCUACAUCCCGGAGGGGCAGGGUGUGGGAGUC